rnacentral:rRNA from 1 species
AUUGAACGCUGGCGGCAGGCCUAACACAUGCAAGUCGAACGAGUGGCGGACGGGGGAGUAAUGUCUGGGAAACUGCCCGAUGGAGGGGGAUAACUACUGGAAACGGUAGCUAAUACCGCAUACCAUCGGAUGUGCCCAGAUGGGAUUAGCUAGUAGGUGGGGGAACGGCUCACCUAGGCGACGGUCCCUAGCUGGUCUGAGAGGAUGACCAGCCACACUGUAACUGAGACACGGUCCAGUCUUCUACGGUAGGCAGCAGUGGGGAAUAUUGCACAAUGGGCGCAAGCCUGAUGCAGCUAUGCCGCGUGUAUGAAGAAGGCCUUCGGGUUGUAAAGUACUUUCAGCGAGGAGGCGUUACUCGCAGAAGAAGCACCGGCUAACUCCGUGCCAGCAGCCGCGGUAAUUC